GGUGGCCUUGUGGUUAGAGCAUCCGCCUUGGAUGUGGGAGGUCGUGGGUUCGAUCCCCAGUAUAGUCA